GAAAGAAUUUGCAGGAGAUAAAUGCUAGUAUGCAGUCAAAAAUAGCUAUACUUCAGAAUAAUACAAAAGAAAGGGAUCUGCAUAUAUCACGUCUGGAGUCAGAAAUGGCUAUACUGCGUAAGAAAGAUCAAGAAAAAGAUCAGUAUAUUGCGAGUCUGGAGUCAGCAUUUUAUAAACUGCGUGAAGAGAUAAUAUCGAAGUCAGCUGAUGAUAAGCAUCCAGAGGAAGCUGUUAUGCACCCAGUUACACCACCCCCAAUGGUCAACAAAGAGGUGCCCCAACCUACCAACAAGAAUCCCAAAGAUUAUACCUCUAAUAUAUAAAUGACCCCUAAAGAUAAUAUAAC
rnacentral:lncRNA from 1 species